rnacentral:lncRNA from 1 species
CAGCACAACAACCAUCAGGAGAGAUCUUAUAAACUUUAGCAAAUAAGCUCUAGGGAUUAAGAAAAUUGAAUCUGCCCAACAUAACAGGCACAUGUUAGCUAUAAUGUUGCCUCCAACAUAACAGUUAACAAUCCAACAUAGCAGACACACAUUAGUUAUAAAAUUGCCUCCAACAUAACCCUUAACAGUCCAAUAUAACAGGCACACAUUAGUUAUAAAGUUGCCUCUGACAUAAACCCUUAACCGUCCAGCAUCAGUUCAACCAUCACAGCAUAGUUCAAAGUUUAAAUAGUCCAGUACAGCCAAAAGACUUUAAAGCAUUAAACAUAGAAACAUCUCCAAAAGACAACCAUCAGCUUAUUUGAAGCAUCAGCUCCAAGCUUCCCAACAUCCAAAAGCUUCUUGAUAUCCUUUGCUCACGUGCCAUUU